GGUUAAGUGAAUAAGGGCGCACGGUGGAUGCCUUGGCACUAGGAGCCGAUGAAGGACGGGACUAACACCGAUAUGCUUCGGGGAGCUGUAAGUAAGCUUUGAUCCGGAGAUUUCCGAAUGGGGAAACCCAGCAUCUUUUAUAGGAUGUUACUUUUCAGUGAAUACAUAGCUGAUUAGAGGUAGACGCAGAGAACUGAAACAUCUAAGUACCUGCAGGAAGAGAAAGAAAAAUCGAUUCCCUGAGUAGCGGCGAGCGAAACGGGAAAAGCCCAAACCAAGAGGCUUGCCUCUUGGGGUUGUAGGACUCCGAUAUGGUAGUCCAGUGAGAUAGUCGAAGGACCUGGAAAGGUCUGCUAGAAAGGGUAAAAGCCCCGUAGACAAAAUUUGACUGGCACCUAGGAGGAUCCUGAGUACGGCGGAACACGAGGAAUUCCGUCGGAAUCCGGGAGGACCAUCUCCCAAGGCUAAAUACUCCCUAGUGACCGAUAGUGAACCAGUACCGUGAGGGAAAGGUGAAAAGCACCCCGGAAGGGGAGUGAAAUAGAUCCUGAAACCGUGUGCCUACAACAAGUUAGAGCCCGUUAAUGGGUGAUAGCGUGCCUUUUGUAGAAUGAACCGGCGAGUUACGAUUACUUGCGAGGUUAAGUUGAAAAGACGGAGCCGCAGCGAAAGCGAGUCUGAAUAGGGCGAAUGAGUAAGUGGUCGUAGACCCGAAACCAUGUGAUCUACCCAUGUCCAGGUUGAAGGUGCGGUAAAACGCACUGGAGGACCGAACCCACGUACGUUGAAAAGUGCGGGGAUGAGGUGUGGGUAGCGGAGAAAUUCCAAACGAACUUGGAGAUAGCUGGUUCUCUCCGAAAUAGCUUUAGGGCUAGCCUCAGAGUAAGAAUGAUGGAGGUAGAGCACUGUUUGGACUAGGGGCCCAUCUCGGGUUACCGAAUUCAGAUAAACUCCGAAUGCCAUCCAUUCAUCUCUGGGAGUCAGACUGUGAGUGAUAAGAUCCAUAGUCGAAAGGGAAACAGCCCAGACCACCAGCUAAGGUCCCCAAAUAACUAUUAAGUGGAAAAGGAUGUGGGGUUGCACAGACAACUAGGAUGUUGGCUUAGAAGCAGCCACCAUUUAAAGAGUGCGUAAUAGCUCACUAGUCGAGUGACCCUGCGCCGAAAAUGUACCGGGGCUAAAUAGUUUACCGAAGCUGUGGAACACACCAAUGGUGUGUUGGUAGGAGAGCGUUCUAAGGGCGUUGAAGGUAGAUCGUGAGGACUGCUGGAGCGCUUAGAAGUGAGAAUGCCGGUAUGAGUAGCGAAAGACAGGUGAGAAUCCUGUCCACCGAAUGACUAAGGUUUCCUGGGGAAGGCUCGUCCGCCCAGGGUUAGUCGGGACCUAAGCCGAGGCCGAAAGGCGUAGGCGAUGGAUAACAGGUUGAUAUUCCUGUACCCGUUGUUUUUGUUUGAGCAAUGGAGGGACGCAGGAGGCUAAGGAAUCAGACGAUUGGAAAUGUCUGUCCAAGCAAUGAGUCUUGAUGUGAGUCAAAUGCUUACAUCUCUAAGGACAAGUUGUGAUGGGGAGGGAAAUAAUAGUACCGAAGUUCCUGAUGUCACACUGCCGAGAAAAGCUUCUAGUGAGAAAACAAUGGCCCGUACCGCAAACCGACACAGGUAGUCGAGGAGAGAAUCCUAAGGUGAGCGAGAGAACUCUCGUUAAGGAACUCGGCAAAAUGACCCCGUAACUUCGGGAGAAGGGGUGCUGAUCUAACGAUCAGCCGCAGUGAAUAGGCCCAAGCGACUGUUUAUCAAAAACACAGGUCUCUGCAAAAUCGAAAGAUGACGUAUAGGGGCUGACGCCUGCCCGGUGCUGGAAGGUUAAGAGGAGUGCUUAGCGUAAGCGAAGGUACGAAUUGAAGCCCCAGUAAACGGCGGCCGUAACUAUAACGGUCCUAAGGUAGCGAAAUUCCUUGUCGGGUAAGUUCCGACCCGCACGAAAGGCGUAACGAUUUGGGCACUGUCUCAACGAGAGACUCGGUGAAAUUUUAGUACCUGUGAAGAUGCAGGUUACCCGCGACAGGACGGAAAGACCCCAUGGAGCUUUACUGCAGUUUGAUAUUGAGUGUUUGUACCACAUGUACAGGAUAGGUAGGAGCCGUAGAAGUCGGGACGCUAGUUUCGACAGAGGCGCUGGUGGGAUACUACCCUUGUGUUAUGACCACUCUAACCCGCACCACUAAUCGUGGUGGGAGACAGUGUCAGAUGGGCAGUUUGACUGGGGCGGUCGCCUCCUAAAGAGUAACGGAGGCGCCCAAAGGUUCCCUCAGAAUGGUUGGAAAUCAUUCGCAGAGUGUAAAGGCACAAGGGAGCUUGACUGCGAGACCUACAAGUCGAGCAGGGACGAAAGUCGGGCUUAGUGAUCCGGUGGUUCCG
rnacentral:rRNA from 1 species